rnacentral:sRNA from 1 species
ACUCUUUAGCGUUGGGAUGAUUCCUUGAAUUAACCUAGUCGGGCGAUUAGCCAGACUCUAACUUAUUGAGCACA